UUGCAGGAUCACUUGUACAUUUGGGUUGUUCAUGGGAUACAUAUGCUCAGGGGCUUGAAUGCUGAUUGCAUUCAUCAUCCUUUCUCCAUUACUUCCUCUUCUAGAGAGGUGUUAGAUUUUGCCAAUGAUUUGUUUGUUGGAAUUGCAGCAGUAGGAGCUCCCUUUGACUCGAAGUUGUAGUUAAGGUUUUUCUUCAUGGAAAUAUAACCAAGAGCCAACUGAGAUGCUGGCCUGUUUUAGUCAAUUUUGUAAGAUCCCGAACUAGAUAAGAAAUUGAUACAAACAAAAAUGGUAUAGCUCCAGAAUACUUGGGAGUGUUUUGUAAGAGGUUGUAACUAGCUGUCUGUCCCGCUUUCAACGCAAAAAAGAAUGUGUAGGUUUUUUUA